rnacentral:tRNA from 1 species
GCCUUGGUGGUGUAACGGUUAAGCGCUUGGCUACAAACUGAAAGGCUGGUGGUUCAAAUCCACCCAGCGGCU